CGGGGUGUAGCUCAGUCUGGUAGAGUGCCUGCUUUGGGAGCAGGAAGCCGCAGGUUCGAAUCCUGCCUCCCCGACCA
rnacentral:tRNA from 2 species